UACGUAGGGCGCAAGCGUUAUCCGGAAUCAUUGGGCGUAAAGAGCUCGUAGGCGGUUUGUCGCGUCUGCCGUGAAAGUCCGGGGCUCAACUCCGGAUCUGCGGUGGGUACGGGCAGACUAGAGUGAUGUAGGGGAGACUGGAAUUCCUGGUGUAGCGGUGGAAUGCGCAGAUAUCAGGAGGAACACCGGUGGCGAAGGCGGGUCUCUGGGCCGUUACUGACGCUGAGGAGCGAAAGCGUGGGGAGCGAACAGG
rnacentral:rRNA from 1 species